rnacentral:rRNA from 1 species
AACGAACGCUGGCGGCAUGCCUAACACAUGCAAGUCGAACGAGACCUUCGGGUCUAGUGGCGCACGGGUGCGUAACGCGUGGGAACCUGCCCUUAGGUUCGGAAUAACUCCCCGAAAGGGGUGCUAAUACCGGAUAAUGUCUUCGGACCAAAGAUUUAUCGCCUUUGGAUGGGCCCGCGUUGGAUUAGCUAGUUGGUAGGGUAAAAGCCUACCAAGGCGACGAUCCAUAGCUGGUCUGAGAGGAUGAUCAGCCACACUGGGACUGAGACACGGCCCAGACUCCUACGGGAGGCAGCAGUGGGGAAUAUUGGACAAUGGGCGAAAGCCUGAUCCAGCAAUGCCGGGUGAGUGAUGAAGGCCUUAGGGUUGUAAAGCUCUUUUACCCGGGAUGAUAAUGACAGUACCGGGAGAAUAAGCACCGGCUAACUCCGUG